rnacentral:rRNA from 1 species
AAUUGACGGGACCGCACAAGCGGUGGAUGAUGUGGUUAAUUCGAUGCAACGCGAAAACCUUACCACCUUUGACAUGGCAGGAAUCCUAAGAGAUUUGGAGUGCUCGAAAGAGAACCUGCACACAGGUGCUGCAUGGCUGUCGUCAGCUCGUGUCGUGAGAUGUUGGGUUAAGUCCCGCAACGAGCGCAACCCUUGCCAUUAGUUGCUACGAAAGGGCACUCUAAUGGGACUGCCGGUGACAAACCGGAGGAAGUGGGGAUGACGUCAAGUCCUCAUGGCCCUUAUAGGUGGGGCUACACACGUCAUACAAUGGCCGGUACAGAGGGUAGCCAACCCGCGAGGGGGAGCCAAUCCCACAAAGCCGGUCGUAGUCCGGAUCGCAGUCUGCAACUCGACUGCGUGAAGUCGGAAUCGCUAGUAAUCGCGGAUCAGCAUGUCGCGGUGAAUACGUUCCCGGGUCUU